rnacentral:rRNA from 1 species
AUUGAACGCUAGCGGGAUGCCUUACACAUGCAAGUCGAACAGAGUGGCGAACGGGUGAGUAAUGUAUCGGAACGUGCCCAGUAGCGGGGGAUAACUACGCGAAAGCGUAGCUAAUACCGCAUACUAUUGGAGCGGCCGAUAUCGGUUUAGCUAGUUGGUGGGGUAGCGGGUCACAAAGGCGACGAUCCGGAGCGGGUUUGAGAGGACGACCAGCCACACUGGGACUGAGACACGGCCCAGACGCCUACGGUAGGCAGGAGGGGGGAAGUGUGGGCAAGGGGGGAAACCCUGAGCCAGCCAUCCCGCGUGUGCGAUGAAGGCCUUCGGGUUGUAAAGCAGUUUUGGAAGGAAAGCGGUACCUGCAGAAUAAGCACCGGCUAACUACGUGCCAGCAGCCGCGGUAAUAC